UACGUAGGUGGCAAGCGUUGUCCGGAAUUAUUGGGCGUAAAGCGCGCGCAGGCGGUUCCUUAAGUCUGAUGUGAAAGCCCCCGGCUCAACCCGGGGAGGGUCAUUCGGAAACUGGGGAACUUGAGUGCAGGAGAGGAAAGCGGAAUUCCACGUGUAGCGGUGAAAUGCGGUAGAUAUGUGGAGGAACACCAGUGGCGAAGGCG
rnacentral:rRNA from 1 species